GGCCCCUUCGUCUAGAGGCCUAGGACACUACCCUUUCACGGUAGGUACACGGGUUCGAAUCCCGUAGGGGUCGCCA
rnacentral:tRNA from 1 species